GACCGCGUAGCUCAGUUGGAAGAGCAUUGGGCUAGUAUUCCAAAGGUCGUAGGUUCGAAUCCUACCGUGGCCA
rnacentral:tRNA from 1 species